AGAAAUAUAAAGCGCCAACUUUUAUUGAAAAAAUAGAAACAUUAUCAUCUUAAUUCUUAACGGACGGGAAAUUAGGAAAGAGUAAAGAAAAGAUUGGGGUGGAGAAGGCGAAGAAAGGGUCAAGACGAUUUCAUCUUUGAAGCGCUGAAAAUAAGGAAAUAUCAGAAAGUUAUAUGGAUUGCAAAUCACCGAGCAAGAAGGCAUCUGAGGAGCUGGCACGUGAGUUACUCAUUGCUAUCUCUGAUUCUUUACCUGAUAAAAUUCUGGAUUCAGAUAUUGUGCCUGAAAGCGAGGAAGCAGAUGGCUUUGCAAGACCAAAUGUUGAUUGGGAUGACAAAUUUAGGUCUGAAUUGAUUUCAAUCUCCUAUGUUGAAUCUCCCGAUGUCAAAAUCUGAAAAAACUUAAGAGGAGUAUAGACUGUAAUAUAUGCUACACUAUUAUGUUUUGAAUUUCUGCUGUACCGAAUGUUAUAAAUUGGUUAAGGCUAUACUAUGUGGACUAUCUUCAAUCACCUGUUUUUACCAGUCACACAUGCCUGGUUCUGUAGUCUGUUAUGUUUAUGUUAAUGGAAAAUUCAAUCUGGAGAA